UACGAAGGGGGCUAGCGUUGCUCGGAAUCACUGGGCGUAAAGCGCACGUAGGCGGCUUUCUAAGUCAGGGGUGAAAUCCCGGAGCUCAACUCCGGAACUGCCUUUGAUACUGGAAAGCUUGAGUUCGGGAGAGGUGAGUGGAACUGCGAGUGUAGAGGUGAAAUUCGUAGAUAUUCGCAAGAACACCAGUGGCGAAGGCGGCUCACUGGCCCGAUACUGACGCUGAGGUGCGAAAGCGUGGGGAGCAAACAGA
rnacentral:rRNA from 1 species